rnacentral:rRNA from 1 species
GGAUUAGAUACCCUGGUAGUCCACGCCCUAAACGAUGUGUGCUAGGCGUCGGGAGGCUUGCCUCUCGGUGCCGGAGCUAACGUGUUAAGCACACCGCCUGGGGAGUACGGUCGCAAGAUUAAAACUCAAAGGAAUUGACGGGGGCCCGCACAAGCGGUGGAGCAUGUGGUUUAAUUCGACGCAACGCGCAGAACCUUACCAGCCCUUGACAUGGUGGUUACGAUUUCCAGAGAUGGAUCUCUCAGUUCGGCUGGACCAUCACAGGUGCUGCAUGGCUGUCGUCAGCUCGUGUUG